GAUGAACGCUGGCGGCGUGCUUAACACAUGCAAGUCGAACGAUGAAGCCCAGCUUGCUGGGUGGAUUAGUGGCGAACGGGUGAGUAACACGUGAGUAACCUGCCCUUAACUCUGGGAUAAGCCUGGGAAACUGGGUCUAAUACCGGAUAGGAGCGUCCACCGCAUGGUGGGUGUUGGAAAGAUUUAUCGGUUUUGGAUGGACUCGCGGCCUAUCAGCUUGUUGGUGAGGUAAUGGCUCACCAAGGCGACUACGGGUAGCCGGCCUGAGAGGGUGACCGGCCACACUGGGACUGAGACACGGCCCAGACUCCUACGGGAGGCAGCAGUGGGGAAUAUUGCACAAUGGGCGAAAGCCUGAUGCAGCGACGCCGCGUGAGGGAUGACGGCCUUCGGGUUGUAAACCUCUUUCAGUAGGGAAGAAGCGAAAGUGACGGUACCUGCAGAAGAAGCACCGGCUAACUACGUG
rnacentral:rRNA from 1 species